UGGGGAAUAUUGGACAAUGGGCGAAAGCCUGAUCCAGCCAUGCCGCGUGUGUGAAGAAGGUCUUCGGAUUGUAAAGCACUUUAAGUUGGGAGGAAGGGCAGUAAGUUAAUACCUUGCUGUUUUGACGUUACCGACAGAAUAAGCACCGGCUAACUCUGUGCCAGCAGCCGCGGUAAUACAGAGGGCGCAAGCGUUAAUCGGAAUUACUGGGCGUAAAGCGCGCGUAGGUGGUUUGUUAAGUUGGAUGUGAAAGCCCCGGGCUCAACCUGGGAACUGCAUCCAAAACUGGCAAGCUAGAGUACGGUAGAGGGUGGUGGAAUUUCCUGUGUAGCGGUGAAAUGCGUAGAUAUAGGAAGGAACACCAGUGGCGAAGGCGACCACCUGGACUGAUACUGACACUGAGGUGCGAAAGCGUGGGGAGCAAACA
rnacentral:rRNA from 1 species